UACGUAGGGUGCGAGCGUUGUCCGGAAUUAUUGGGCGUAAAGAGCUUGUAGGCGGUUUGUCGCGUCUGCUGUGAAAAUCCGGGGCUCAACCCCGGACUUGCAGUGGGUACGGGCAGACUAGAGUGUGGUAGGGGAGACUGGAACUCCUGGUGUAGCGGUGAAAUGCGCAGAUAUCAGGAGGAACACCGAUGGCGAAGGCAGGUCUCUGGGCCACUACUGACGCUGAGGAGCGAAAGCAUGGGGAGCGAACAGG
rnacentral:rRNA from 1 species